rnacentral:rRNA from 1 species
CACGAGUUCGCUUCAGUGUAAAGGUGGCCUCUCAUAAGCUAUCACUUGGAUGAGCUGCGGCCAUUAGCUAGUUGGUGGGGUAAAGGCCCACCAAGGCUUCGAUGGCUAGCUGGUCUGAGAGGAUGAUCAGCCACACUGGGACUGAGACACGGCCCAGACUCCUACGGGAGGCAGCAGUGGGGAAUAUUGCGCAAUGGGGGAAACCCUGANNCAGCGACGCCGCGUGGGUGAUGAAGGCUUUCGGGUCGUAAAGCCCUGUCAAGAGGGAAGAAUUGUUCGGGUGCUAAUCAGCUCGAGCUUGACGGUACCUCUAAAGGAAG